rnacentral:rRNA from 1 species
GAUGAACGCUGGCGGCGUGCCUAAUACAUGCAAGUCGAGCGGACAGACGAUGAGCUUGCUCCUUUGACGUUAGCGGCAGACGUGUGUGUAACACGUGUAUCACCUACCUAUCUGACUGGGAUAAUCUCGGAAAACCGGAUCAUAUACCAGAGAAUAUCUUGAACCGCAUGGUUCAAUAGUAAAUGACGGUGUUGGUGUCUCUAAUCGAUGGAUCCCGGCUGGAUUAGCUAGUUGGUAGGGUAACGGCUUACUAAGGCAACGAUGCGUAGGCGAACUGCGAGGGUGAUAGGCCACACUGGAACUGAGACACGGUCCAGACUCCUACGGGAGGCAGCAGUCGGGAAUCUUCGGCAAUGGGCGGAAGCCUGACGGAGCAACGCCGCGUGAGUGAUGAAGGUCUUCGGAUCGUAAAGCUCUGUUAUUAGGGAAGAACAAAUGUGGAAGUAGCUAUGCCCGUCUUGACGGUACCUAAUCAAAAAGCAACGGCUAACUACGUG